UACAGAGGGUGCGAGCGUUGUUCGGAAUUAUUGGGCGUAAAGGGCGCGUAGGCGGUGCGGUAAGUCACCUGUGAAAUCUCCUGGCUCAACUGGGAGCUUGCAGGCGAAACUGCCGUGCUGGAGUGUGGGAGAGGUGCGUGGAAUUCCCGGUGUAGCGGUGAAAUGCGUAGAUAUCAGGAGGAACACCGGUGGCGAAGGCGGGGUCUCUGGGCAGUAACUGACGCUGAGGAGCGAAAAGCGUGGGGAGCGAACAGG
rnacentral:rRNA from 1 species